rnacentral:rRNA from 1 species
GUGCCAGCCGCCGCGGUAAUACAGAGGGUGCAAGCGUUAAUCGGAAUUACUGGGCGUAAAGGGAGCGUAGGUGGCUCUAUAAGUCAGAUGUGAAAUCCCCGGGCUUAACCUGGGAACUGCAUCUGAAACUGUAGAGCUAGAGUAUGUGAGAGGAAGGUAGAAUUCCAGGUGUAGCGGUGAAAUGCGUAGAGAUCUGGAGGAAUACCGAUGGCGAAGGCAGCCUUCUGGCAUAAUACUGACACUGAGGCUCGAAAGCGUGGGUAGCAAACAGGAUUAGAUACCCUGGUAGUCCACGCCGUAAACGAUGUCUACUAGUCGUUGGGUCCCUUGAGGACUUAGUGACGCAGCUAACGCAAUAAGUAGACCGCCUGGGGAGUACGGCCGCAAGGUUAAAACUCAAAUAAAUUGACGG